rnacentral:rRNA from 1 species
CACGUAGGGGGCAAGCGUUGUCCGGAUUUAUUGGGCGUAAAGAGCUCGUAGGCGGUUCGCUAAGUCGGGUGUGAAACCUCCAGGCUCAACCUGGAGACGCCACCUGAUACUGGUGUGACUCGAGUCCGGUAGGGGAGCGUGGAAUUCCUGGUGUAGCGGUGAAAUGCGCAGAUAUCAGGAGGAACACCAGCGGCGAAGGCGGCGCUCUGGGCCGGAACUGACGCUGAGGGAGCGAAAGCGUGGGUAGCAAACAGG